UCAUGUAUCACGUGUACGAGCAGCAAAUUGGCUGUCGAUUUGCCAGGUGGAUCCACAAAACCAUUCACUUUCCAAAGCACCUUUGGUCUAAGCGUAAAAUAGCCAACAAGUUACAGAAAAUCGCGAUGGCAAUUAGAGCUAUUACAGAGAGAAGUCAGUGAUAUUGUGGUGGUGCAGCUGUAGAAGGAAAAAGUACUUCUUCUGAGGAUAUUCGCAGAUGGGUGCAGAUUCAAGCGGUGUCUUCUCUUUAUCAUAAGGAGGAUGAACUCGUCGGGAUUGAAGGUGAUAAGAACUUGUUAAUAGGAUGGCUGACGAACGAAGAGCAACGCCAAACUGUUGUGUCUGUGGUCGGGAUGGGAGGAUCGGGGAAGACAACUCUAGUUGCAAGGACUUUCAAAGAUGAAAUUGUAAAGAGACAUUUCGAAUGCUAUGCGUGGAUUACUAUUUCCCAGUCUUAUGUGAUUGAAGACUUACUUAGAAGAUUGAUCAAAGAAUUCCACAAAGCAAAGAAGGAAGAGUUCCCUGCAGACAUGAAUGCCAUGAGUUAUAACGAAUUGCUGGAGAUUUUGGUGAACUACUUGGAGACUAAAAGGUACCUAGUUGUAUUGGAUGAUGUGUGGGAUGUCCACCUUUGGGAGAAAAUAAGGUUUUCAUUUCCAGAUAAACAACUUGGAAGUCGAGUCAUGCUUACAACUCGAAGAGAAGACAUAGCAUCCUCUUCUUUUGGAGUUGAAAGCCAUGUUCACAAGAUUCAACCGCUGGAAAAAGGUGAUGCGUGGGAGCUCUUCAGCAUGAAAGCAUUCUCAAGUUAUCCAAACAAAUCUUGUUCACCUGAACUUCUGCCUUUAGCUCGGGAACUUGUGGAGAAGUGUGAAGGUCUACCUCUAGCGAUCGUAGCCUUGAGUGGUCUCAUGUCUUCUAAGAAGUCACUUACAGAGUGGAGCACAGUCUACAACAGCUUAAAUUGGCAUUUAACAAACAGUCCUUUGCUAGAACCUAUGAAGAUGCGCAUCUUGUUGUUUAGUUUUAAUGAUUUGCCAUACCGAUUGAAGCAAUGCUUUCUAUAUUGUUCACUUUUCCCUGAAGAUCAUGUGAUCUUAAAUCUUAGGCUCAUCACAUUGUGGAUCGCUGAAGGAUUUGUUGAACAUGUCGAAGGGCUCACGCCAGAAGAAGUUGCAAAUAGCUAUCUUAUGGAACUCUUUUUUCGUAACAUGCUACAGCAAAGGUUUCGAGGACCCCUCCCAGCAUGUAAGAUGCAUGAUCUUUUGCGGGAGAUUGCCUUGUCUAUAGCAAAAGAAGAAAAGUUUUGCACUGUACAUGAUGGGAGUGAAACAGUAGAAGAAACUGGAGCACUCCGUUUGUCAAUUCAAACAACUAAUGGAGAAAUUGGAUCAUGCACAGGUAUAUCACGGCUUUGUUCGUUUCUCGUCUUUGCCACUGACUUAUCCUCAUUCUCUUUACCAAAUAAAUUUACUUCUGACCUUAAAUUGUUGAAGGUUCUAGAUUUGGAGGAUGUCCCAAUUGAUAAUCUGCCAGACAAUCUAACAUCCUUAUUUAAUUUAAAAUACUUAAAUUUGAGUCGAACUCCAAUUACGGAGCUUCCGGAAUCCAUUAGGCAGCUCCACAACCUUCAGACCUUGAACAUCACGGGGACAAAAAUAGAGGCACUUCCAAGAGGGAUUUCCAAGUUGCUAAAGUUACGCCAUUUACUUAUGGGUAGGUUCAUUUCCAGAAAGAUAAUUGGGGUAAGAAUACCAUCAAGUAUUAGUAAGAUGAAGAAAUUGCAAACUUUGGAAAAUAUUGAAUCAAAAGGAAACAUUAUUAGACUUAUUGGAAGUAUGACCCAGCUUAAGUUCCUCGGCAUUACAAAUGUGAAAGAAAGAGACGAGGAGGACCUAUGUGCCUCAAUUCAAGAGAUGAAGGUCCUUUCCCGCUUGCUUUUAUUUGUAGCUGAUGGAGAGGAAUUUCUUCGAGUUGACGCAUUGUCUUCACCGCCUCCCUACCUUGAUAGACUUAGAUUGGUCGGCAAACUGGAAAAGGUACCACAACGGUUUUGUUCACUCCACUCUCUCGCAUAUUUGAAUCUGCGUGGGUCUAGACUUGAAGAAGAUUUUCUACCUCAUAUUGAAGCAUUGCCCUCUCUACGUUCUCUUUGGCUUGAUAAUACCUCUGUUAAGAAAGAGUUAUGUUUCAACAGAGGCUUUGUGAAGCUUUGGUAUUUGCAGUUUCAGAAUUUCGCAUUAUUAAAUAAGAUAACUAUAGAAAAAGGGACGAUGCCAAAUCUUGAGUUCUUAGACAUUCGUAGUUGCAUGACGUUAGAAACAUUGCCACAGGGUAUUGAGCACCUUAUUAAACUACGAGGAUACAGAUUUGAUAAUGUUUCAGAGAAGUUUAGAGAGUCCAUAAAAGGAGGAGGUGUGGAUCAUCCAAGGAUGCUACUCGUCGACGAGAAAUGUAAGAAACAUAUGUAAGUGUCUUUUAUCCUUUCAUUGACUUUCCUAAACCUAAUGAUUUGGAAUAUUUCCAAAAUUAAUGAUUUGGAUGUAAAGCCUUAUAAAUUGUUUGUUAUUAUAAUAUCGCUUUUGUCUUUUUAUGUAUUUUGCAGAAACAAGUCCACCCUGAUUGAAGAAUUUACCCAUGAGUACUCUUUUUACUCUUUUUGAAAAUCAAAUAAUACCAAAGUUGAUGUUCAUAAAAUUUCAUAUGUCGCUUCAACAAUGGGCAGGCGUAUGUCGACGAUUAGCUUUUAAGAUUUGGAUCAUGGAUUCAUUUAUAUUCGGUGUGUUUGUACUUUCUUCUAUGUUAAUUGUGUUUGUAAGAAUACCAUCAAGUAUUAGUAAGAUGAAGAAAUUGCAAACUUUGGCAUAUAUUGAAUCAGAAGGAAACAUUAUUAGAUUUAUUGGAAAUAUGACCCAGCUUACGUUCCUUGGCAUUACAAUGUGAAAGAAAGAGACGAGGAGGACCUAUGUGCAAUGGCAGAUCCACAUAGGGAUAAGAGGGGUCGAUUGACCCCUGCAAACCUAGAAUCUACCAUAGGAGGCCAAGAACUUAACCCUUGAAAAUUCCCUAGAAGGUGUUUGAUGAAAUGCCACAAAGAGGAAGUAGCCGUAGCACACACUGGUAGCAAGAAGCUAGCUGCGCGCCUGUGAAGCGCUCACAGCGUCUUUUUUUUUCCUCUACGUCAAAACGACAUCAUUCCACUUAAGAUUUUUUAUUUUUUAUUUAAAAAAAACCUGGCCAAAAACGACAUCAUUUUGGCUUAGGUGUUUAAAAAAAAAAAUUACAACUUAGGCAGCAACUCUGCUGCCUAAUAAAACCUACGAGUGCAUCUUGGACGCAAAUGUUUCUCUUUCCUCUCUCCUCCCAUACAAGAGCAAGUAUUUGCUCUUAGAUCUAUAGCAAAUUCUCCUCCAUACAUAUGACUUAUUUGAUAUUUCUUCUCCCUAGCCAACCUUGGUAUGAAUUGACUUGAUGCCAACUUAUUUUUCUCUAUUACGUUGAAGAUUCUAGGAUCAACAGUAUACCUCCAAUGUUGACAAUGCCCUUCUAUUAGCCAUCCUAAUCAUAAUAUACAUCCUUAUUCUCUCAAGGCAUGUUAGGAUUGGCUUAUCCCUUGCAUCCAUAAUGACUGCAUUGAAGCUUUCACAUAGGUUAUUUAACAACAAAUCACACUUAUAGUGUGUUGCAAAAUGAGAUCUUGACCAAUUUCUUGCUGGCCUCUCAAUUAGCCACCCCCAAGCAUCUGCAUCCUCCUUCUUCAUAUUAUCCAUCUCUGCUUCCCACCAAGGAAAUGUGGUUGGCCUCGCAGCAGCCCAUAGCAAAUGUUUCAGAGCAAGUCCUGUGUGUUGGCCUUUGAAGUUGUUAUACAAAUGUCUCACGCACAUUCUGUGUUUAGCAUUUGGUAGAGCUGUUUGCAUAGUGGGAAUUAGCCCCUUCUGUUUAUUACUUUUAAAUUCCCAUGCCAAAUCAUUUUAAAUCCCCAAGUCUGCAAUUAAGAGUUAUAGAAACCAUAUCCAACUACUUUUGCUUUCUAUUUCAACUAUAGCAUAGGCCAAUGGGAACAAAGGUAUGUUCCCAUCAAUACCAACUGUAGUUAAGAUCUGCCCUGAGGAGGGUCCUUUUAAGAGGUAGCCAUCAACACCUACAACAGGCCUACACCCUUCUAAGAAACCAUUUUUAGAAGCAGCUAAACAAAUAUAAAUCCGUUCAAACAAUGCAUCAUCACCUGCUAGUUCAGUUUUAAUUACCACAGUACUUCCAAGGUUGAUCUUCUUAAUUUGCUCUACAUAAUCCCUUAAUCUCUCGUAUUGUUCCUUGUACGAACCUUCAAUGACCUUCUUAGCCAAUUUUUUUGCCCUAUACACUUGGUUAUGUAUAACAUUCAUUACAUAUGUUCCCUCACCUCAUCUUGAAGUUGCCCUACAUUCCAAUUGGGAUUUCUUCUCAUCUUAUCACAAAAUCUUUGUAAAAUCCAUGUUGAAGUAGCAUAUCUUAACCUGUCUACUCUGCCACAUGUAUGAUUAGCAUGUAUAGCCUUUACUUUAAAAAUGGAUUCUCUUUAUCAAUCCUAGAUGCAUAAAGAACAAAUGUACAGUUCCUAGAUCCACGACACAGGACCUUCACUCUUCUCUUGCCAUUUUUAUCAAAUUUCAACAACUUGCCGUUUACAAUUGCAUACUCCUUUAUUGCUUCCUUCAAGUGCUCCCGAUUUGCAAAUUGCAUCUCCAAAUGAAAUUAUGGAUUUUUAAGGUCAGUAGCUCUCCUAUAUUGCUUGAACUUUGGUAGGAGAAUCCUCUAUUUUUUGUCACAUGUCGACUGCUAUUCUCAUCAUCUGAGGUGUUCCUAUCAGAAUAUAAAGUAUCAGAAUCUGCCCCAUCAUCUGAUAUCUCUCCUGGCCCUUGUGUUUCACUCUCAACAUUUACUUCUUCAUCACAAGGCAUAUUUAUGUCUACAUUACAACCUUUCUUUGCCUCCUCAUCUUCACUAAAAGCAUUAUCACUAUCCACAAACUCUGAAUCUUCUUCUUCUUCAUCAAUUGCAGCUUCACAAUCUCCAAGAGAAAUAACAUGCUCAUCAGUAUCUAAAGCUUCAUAACCUCCAUCAUUUGGUCUUCAUUAAAUCUCCCAUAGUUGUAUUCUUCACUUUGCAAACUAAGCCAUUCUACAGAUGUUUGAGUCUAUGUCUUAUCACUUAUUUUUUUGUCAGUAUAGUAUAACACUAACACUCUGUUACUUGUUAUGCAGUCAACCAUGUCACAUAUAACACUGUCAUUGUCAAUGAGCUUUACAUUAGUUUCACCUUUACUAUAAUACAUCUGACAAUAUAUUUGCAAACAUAUCUCCUUCUUAGUUAGGUCCACUUUAUAUCCUAACGCUAUACCUAUUUUCCUUAAAUCCAAGAGUGAUAGAUAAUCAUCCACACAGUAUAUUCAACAUCAAUUUUUAAAAUCUCUACUCACCUAAAUAAGGAUAAAUCACACUUCAAUUAAAGCAAGGAUAGUACAUACCAAGUGUGCUAGUGUGUGUAACUAUACAAUCAAUUGACACAAAUCAUACCAGUAGGACCACAAACCCUUAAAUUCAACCAAGGAUAGUAGGACCAAGUAUGCACUCAAUGUCUGACCAAAACACAAGGUAUGCAUUCAAUGUUGACAUAAAGACAAAAGAAAACAGUUUUUUGUUUGCCCAAAAGAGAGACAAUAACAAAACCCUCAAUUGCUACAUAGUUGGAGCAGACACAGACAGAAUUCCAAAACAACAUAAAGCAAUUAACAUAUAAAAAUGUGCUUCCAUUAGCAUCGCAUAUUGUAUAUUAAGGGGGGGGGGGGGGGGGGGGGGGGUCCUAACCACCCGGAUUUCAAACCCCUCAAAAUUUUCAACAACCCCCUUUGGCCCCCCCAAGGGAAAACCCAAACAUUUUGGCCCUAAAGAACCUUAAACCCCAUGGCCCCCAAAAAAANNNNNNNNNNNNNNNNNNNNNNNNNNNNNNNNNNNNNNNNNNNNNNNNNNNNNNNNNNNNNNNNNNNNNNNNNNNNNNNNNNNNNNNNNNNNNNNNNNNNNNNNNNNNNNNNNNNNNNNNNNNNNNNNNNNNNNNNNNNNNNNNNNNNNNNNNNNNNNNNNNNNNNNNNNNNNNNNNNNNNNNNNNNNNNNNNNNNNNNNNNNNNNNNNNNNNNNNNNNNNNNNNNNNNNNNNNNNNNNNNNNNNNGACAAAAUCGACUCAAAUGUAGUCCAAUUCCUAGCUUUUGCUAUAUCUGAAACCUUCAGCAGAAACCCUUUUGUCUGAAAGCUUCAUCUUGUUGACUCUUCAGCUUUUUCUUUUCUUGUUUGGUUCAUACCUCUAGUCAAAGUUCUGAUGUGUCAUAACUCGUAUAAGAGAAUCUAAAAGAGUAAAAGUCUUUUUUGUCACUCAACUACUCCCUACAUGCCCUAAAUUUAACGAAAAAAUUGACAGAAGUAACGGUGGGACUAGCUGUUCAAACAAAACUAAAGUUAAAGGACCAUGGGUACCAUUUUGGAAAUUGAGGUACUCAAAUGCAAAUCGGGUCAAAGGGGUGACUAAUAAUACUAUUAACCCUAUUGGUAUUGAUUACUCUGGCUUCUCCAAUAAUACGUAUAAUUAGUAGUUUAAACAUUUCACUCAAACAAACCCUAACUAUUAUAAUUCAAAACUUUAAAAUAAAGAAAAAUAAAUCAGUUUUCCAAUCUCUGCACUCACAGCCGUCAGCCAAAAGAAACUAAUGGAAACCCAAGAGGGAUUAGCUUAUUGCACAAAUGCAAAGCAACUAAGCCAAACUUCGACAAUAAGAAAAGCCACUCAGAUGCAUAGAUUGUUUUCGAUUUAGCUACUAUCUGUUUGCCCGUUUUGUGUUUACUCCUGUGAUGGAAGGGCAAAAUUCUCUAUCGCCUUGAAAACCAUUGACUGGUCAACAAGCCAACUUUCUUUGGCGUGCGAGUGUGCCACUGCUAGCAAUGAAAAAUCCUAGUAGACUUCUUUGAAACAGAUAACUUGCGCCCCAAGUUACUGAUUUCUAAAUAAGCGAUCGUGAAUUUAGGUGAGGAAUAUCUCCCAAGUAAGUUCUUUUCUUGCCUCAGACUGGUGAGGACUUCACAAUUUAUCUCAGUACAAGAUUGGUAGUUUUGGCCAAAAUAAAUGAUAAUAAAGUGGAUUUUUUAGACAGAACUGCCUGUUACAAAACUAGAAAGGAAAAGAUCAACUCUAGAAAGACAAAAAGAAGGCUAAAAUUCUAUUUCUGCCUGGAUAGAAGCUUCUAAUCCGGGCUGGACUGAGUAUGUCUGUGCUGGACUGAACUGUCAACAACUUCAACUGCUAAGCUUCAGUUGUAAAUCGAUACCAAAGUUUGAGUUUGACAGAGUUUUAAUAUAUUUCAAGCCUUGGAAGGCUUUUCAAACGGGCAGAACUGCAACUUCUUUGGUCUGAACAGGGCAGAAGUGGCUGGACUUGAGAAUUAACUUUGCGCGACGAAAAACAAUUCGUCGCACAAAGUCACUUUGCGCAACAAACUUUUGCGCGACGAGAAUACUUCGUCGCUCAAAGUCUUGCGAAACAAUUCGUCACGCAAAGUGACUUUGCAGGACGAACGUUUGCUCAACGACAAUACAUCGUCGCUCAAAGUGACUUGCACGACGAAACAAUAAACUUCGUUGCACAAAGUCUUUAGCGGCGAAGUGUGUUUCGUCACGCAAAGUCUUUACAAAAAUAAAUAAAAUAAUUUUUUAAAUCUUUGCAUGACGUAAUCUAAACAUUUUGUCGCCUAAACCAAUUUAUUUUUGUCUUUUAUUUUGUAUGCAUAACACUUAAGAAAUUAAACGGUAUAUAUAUUUAUUAAGCAGCUUUAAAUUUAUUAUUUUAGUUCGGAUAGGAUUUUUGUUAUAAAAAUAUAUUAUUGUAGUUCAUAUUGGGCUUUUGUUAGAAAAUAUAUAUUUUAAAUUGAUGAUCGAAUUAGUUCAUUGUAUUCAUAUAGGGUCAAGGAGUGUAGCUAUAAAAAAUCAUCAAAAUUGGAGUUAAAAUAACCGUUAAAUCGUGAUUUUUCAUUUAUAACCGUCAAAAAUUUUGUCCCAUUACUUGAUCUCUGAAUGUUUAUCUUUUUCGAUUUUUGGCGUAUAUGAUCUCAAAGUAUAAACAAACAAGUUUGACUGUUGGAUCGUUGAAACUAGUUUCGUUGAAUGCAUAUGCCAUCAAAACAAUAUAUUAACUAAAAAUCAAGAGUUUAUUUAUACUUUCGUUAAAUAUAACAUAAGAUUUUGUGGUAUCCACUAGUGUAAAUAUUUUAAAUUGAAGAUCUAAUUCAGUCAUUGUAUUCAUAUAGGGUCAAGGAGUGUAGCUGAAAAAAUCAUCAAAAUUGGAGUUAAAAUAUCCGUUAAAUCGUGAUUUUUCAUUUAUAACCGUCGAAAAGUUUUUUCCCAUUACUUGAUCUCUGAAUGUUUAUUUUUUCUGAUUUUUGGCGUAUACAAUCUCGAAGUAUAAACAAACAAGUUUGACGGUUGGAUCAUUGAAACUAGUUUCGUAGGAUGCGUAUACCAUCAAAACAAUAUAUUCACUAACAAUUAAGAGUUUAUUUAUACUUUCAUUAAAUAUAACAUAAGAUUUUGUGGUAUUCACUAGUGAAAAUAUUUUAAAUUGAAGAUCAAAUUCAAUCAUUGUAUUCAUAUAGGGUCAAGGAGUGUAGUUGUAAAAAAUCAUCAAAAUCGGAGUUAAAAUAACCGUUAAAUCGUGAUUUUUCAUUUAUAACCAUCGAAAAAUUUUGUCCCGUUACUAGAUAUCUAAAUGUUUGUUGUUUGUGAUUUUUUGGGGUAUACGAUCUUGAAGUAUAUGAAAACAAGUUUGACGAUUGGAUCGUUGAAUGGUGUGUGUGUGUAUAAUAUAUAUACACAAAACUUUAACAUUUUUUUUAGACUUUUCUCGACCAAUUUUUUUCGUCACGCGAAACUUUGCGCGACCAAUUUUCGAAUAUUUUUCGUCGCACAAAACUUAAAAAAUUUGAGCGGUUACCAAAAAUGAGACGUGGAAAUUUUUUUUUUAGACUUCGUGCAACCAAUAUUUUUGCGCGCAAAACUUUAAAAAUUUGGGAGGGUACAAAAAAUGAGACGUGGGAAAACUGUUAUUUUUUAAUUUUUUUUGGGACUUUGCGCGACCAAUAUUUUUUGUCGAGCAAAACUUUGCACGACCAAUAAUCCAAUAUUUUUCGUCCCUCAAAACUUUGCGCGACCAAUAUAUAUUUUUUGUCGUGCAAAGUGAUACGGUUUUUAAAACCAAAAUAACUCCUUCACUAUUUUCUCAAUGUCUUUCUCUACUCUUACCUCUCCUCUCUCUUUCCCUCUCCCUAAAUCCCACCCUUUCUCUCACACUCACUCCUCUCUCUCUUCUCUAUCUCUCACUCUCUCAUAUCUCUUUUCACUAUCUCUCACUCUCACUCACUCUCUCAUCUCUCUUUUCACUAUCUCUCACUCUCACUCUCACUCACUCACUCAUCUCUCUCUCUCUCUCUCUCUCUCUCUCUCACUCACUUCUCCCUCUCAUUCUCACUCACUCUCAAUCUUGCCAAAAGGUAUAUUCUUUCCAAAUUUAAAAAAAAUUUCAUUAAUAUGUGUUUUUGGAGUUAGUUUUGAGUUUGUGUGGGGUUUGGAGUUGAGUAUAUGGUGAGGAUUGGAGCUUGGGUUGGAUUUGUGGUAUAACAAUUUUAGGGGAGAUUAUGCCAAUUUUUUUAUUUUUUAUUUUUUGGUUAUUUGACCAUAUUUGUUUUUUUUAGGGAAUUGUCAACACUUUGACGGCUAAAGUUGAGAAUUAGGACGCUAUCGAAACAUAUCCUCCGCCACUUCCACCACAAUAGGCUUGUAUUAGUAUUUUAUUAUUGUACUUUGUUAAUUUAUGUGUACAUUUUGAAUAUUAUAUAUUUAUUGGAUAAUUUGAUCACUAUUUUUCAUAUGUAAUUUUAUUUUGAAUAUGUCAAUUUAAAUUAUUAAAAAAAAUCAUACAAUUAAAUUAAAUUCAAAAAGUCAAAAUUCGAAAAAAUUAAUAUUAAAACAAAGAGUCAAAAACCUUGCGCGACAAAAUAUUUCGUCGAGCAAACUAUUAAAUUAGUUUAUUUUAAAACACAAAAAAUAUUUAAUUGCUCAAAUAUUUGCGCAACAUUAUUAUUCAUCGCGCAAAACUUUAAAAAUUUGGGCAGGUAUCAAAAAUGGGGCGAGAGAUUUUAUUUUAUUUUUUUUGCCUUUGCGCGACCAAUAAUUUUCGUCGCGCAAAACUUUGUUCGACUAAUACUUUUUGUCGCGCAAAAUUUUUCGCGACCAAUACUUUUUCAUUUCGCAAAGUUUUGCGCGACAAAUACUUUUUCGUUGCCUGAAAAAUGAGCAUGUUGCCUGCAACACACACAUCCAAAAUCAAACCAGCAGCAUGAUCAAUUCUAAGAUUUAAAACACCAAUACAUUACCAAACUUUAGAGCAACAGGUCACUUGCCUCUAACUUUGCAAGGUCUUAAGGAUCCAAAUUGCAUGCAGUAAGGACAUGAAGGACAAUGGAGGGGUUGGCAGCUAAAAGGAGUUCUCUGGGGAUAAAGGUCCCAAAGCGAUGGCAUUGCCUCCUUUUGAAUGUUGGUACAGGAGUGGCAACAACAAUAGUGGUAAUUAGCUGGUCAGGAAUGUUAUGGUAUUGUAUAGUUGGGGUUCCACUAGUUUUGGCAUCCACUGGCACUACCAAAAUUCGCAGUGGCCAAGCUUUGGAAAGGAGAAGUUCUAAAUUGCUGAAAAUUAUGAAAUAUUGGUACAACACUUGUCACAUUACUCCUCUCCAUUAUCCAACAUUAGCAUCUAAAGUUUUAAAACGAACACAUUCUUGCUAAUUUUAUUCAUGGAUAAUCUAUGCAGGGGUAUCAACCUUGACAAAUAUGUUAUUGAUCAACAAACUUCAAGUCUCAAACCUACAAAUAAAAAAACAUACCUAAAAAAAACUCUUUAUAUAACAGCAACUACAAGAACCAAUAAUGCAACAAUUUAUGUCCAAUCAACAUGUCAUAAGAAAUGGUGUCAAAGCAACAGAACAUAAGGCAUGUACUGGAAUUGAGAUUUCAAAAUCGUUUACAACAAAAGACCAAACAUCUGCAAAAUUAGACACCAGAGAAAUUCACAACCCGACCAUUUUGAUCAUAGUUCAACCAAAGCCAAAACUGUAGAUUUUCAGGCUAUCCAAAUGAAAAGGGGUUAACAAAGAAACACAAAACUUUAAAACAAUUAUAAUAAAAAAAAAAAAAAAAACUUGAGGUAGACAAAAAGAUGGAAAACUUUGAGAAGUAGAAUACUAGUAAUAACAAGAUACCUCUACAAGAAAAAAGAAAAAAGAAAAAAAAGGUACACUGUUAAUACUACGUCAUAGAAGUACACUGUUAAUACUAUGUCAUAGAACCAUCUUCCAAGUAAAAAUCACAUUUUGCAUAUCAUAAACUUCAAGUGCACAACUAUAUAUAGAACAAAAUAUAGAGCAUGCUUUAUUACUGAAAAUAUGUUAAUACUAUAUCAUAGAAGUACACUGUUAAUACUAUGUCAUAGAAAUAAACUCAAUUGCAGAGUAUAAACAGUAUAACAAUUAUUCAUAUACUACUACAAAAAAGCAAAAAGACGACGGUAAAUCACCGUCGUGUAUUUGGUUUUUCAAUGGUCGUGGAAUCCACCGUCAUCUUUUCCCUCAUAAACCACGACGCUAAAUAACCGUCGUUGUUAAACAAUACAACGUCAUCAAAAAAUACAAAACGACGUCUUUGUACUGCAAAAAGAUCUAAAAAAAGCAAUCGAGGAUGAUAAUAGACGACCAAUUCUCUAAAAACACCGUCGUUAAAAAGGGAAAAUAUGACACAUAUUAAGAGAACAAAGCCGCAAGAUAGACAUACAACGACGACAAUAAAAAUACGCCGACGUUAAAUAUAAUUUUCACGACAAUAAAAAAUAUGACGUCUUUAAAUACAUUAGAAGACGACGUUAUUGAUACCUACUACGUCGCACAUAUAAACACAACCGUCGUACAAUUAAUUUUCCACUUCGAUUUUUCGAUAAAAGAUGACGUGAAAAUAGUUGUCAGUGUCAUUAUUUACGACGUAUGUGUUUCUAUAGUAGACGUUGAAAAACUAAACAACGUCAGUUACAAAUAUAUGAGAGUCGUAUUAAAAAAUUUAUACGUCCUAUUUUCAGAAACAAACAACGACCAUAAAUAUUAGACGUUGUUAAAUACAACAACGUCGGAAAACAAUAAAAACAGACGUGUUUAGUCUGCUAAAGUUCUACAACGUCUCUUAUUUACAAAAAACCGUCGUGAAAUAAAUUUUCCACUUCGAUUUUUCUAAAAAAGAUGACGUGGAAAUAGUUGUCAGUGUCAUUAUUUACGACGUAUACAUUUAUAUAGUCGACGUUGUAUUUAUAUGUAUUCAUUACUCACGACGCACUUAAUAAUAUAGACGACGUUGAACGUCUAAACAACGUCGGUUCCAAAUAAAUGAGAGCCGUAUUACAGAACAUAUAGACGGCGUAGAUUAUGAUGGGAGCCGUAUUACAAAUAACGUCGUUUAAUUGUUAUUAGACGGCGGUUAUAAUGAAUUUCCGUCGGAAUUAAUUUCGUUCCUCUUCGUUUAUAAAAGAACUUGCGACGUGGAAAAUGUAUGAUGACGUCGUAUUUUUUAACGUUCAGAUUAUAUAUCUCGUUUUUUAGACGUCGGUAUUAUGGGAUUGGAGUCGUGUUAUUUUGAAUUACAUGGCGGUUCUUUAUCCUUCACCGACGUGAUAUCCUGAAUAAUUGCUUCACAAUAGCGUCGUGGUUCUUCAUUGUUACGUUGCUUUAAGACGUCGGUAAAUAUGCUGAAUAACUGAUUCACAAUAACGUCGUGUUUUAUUUGAACGUAGAAAGUGAAGAAAUCACAUUACAAUAUAUUACAAAAUUAAUGUCAUACACUGCCAAUUACAUAAGCAUCAUUCAAUCCAUAUAUCUUCACACCCAUCUCGAAUAUUUUGACCGCCUAACUCACCUACCAGUUCAUCAAAUGUGUCAACAUUUGGCAUCCCUCUAGUAAAUGGCUCACACUCAAUUAUCACAUCACCUAAUACUUCAUCACCAAUAACAUCAUUAUAUUCUCUACUAGGCAUUGAUAACACUACCGACCAACCACGAUGCAUCGGGUCGUCAACAAAAAAUAUUUGUUUGACUUGAGAAGCCAAAACAAAUUGGUCAUUCCUAUGUCCAAUUUUACUCAAAUCUACAAGGGUAAAUCCAAGUUCGUCGACUACAAGACCAGAACUAUCUAUCCAAUCACACCUAAAGACUGGGAUUGUAAACUUUUGGUAGUCAAGGUCCCAAAUUUCUUGAAUGACACCAUAGAAACCCAUAUUUGAGAGAAUUGGGUUUUUAUCCUUGGCACUAGCAACUUGCAUGGUAUGUGCAAGUAAAUAAACUCCACUAUUUUGAGUUGUCCGCACAUCAUCUUGUGCCUUGAUAUUGAAUUUAAUACCUUUAAUAAGAUAGCUCCUAUAUAAUGGCACUGACAUGUUUGGACCAGCUGCUAGCCACCUUAAAUUUUCUGAUACGCCAUGAUUGUCUUCCUCAACUUCACUUUGAACCUGCAAAUUAAUCAUAUCUUAAUUCAUCCUAACAUAUAAAUAAGAAGAAAAUUAAAAGAGAAAUACGUUAUUCAACAACAUAUACCUUGAAGCGUAGCCAUUGAAUGAAAGUGCUAUUGUGCUUAUCCUGCAGCCACUUUGUUCUCUUUCUAAAUUUUGGAUAAGCAGUCUUGAUGUGGAUCAUAUGUUGCCUACAUGACACGAAAAAUUCAAGCAUUACGGUCCCAAAUAUAUAAGAUAAACAUAAGAAAUAAUUUUAAAUGGAAACUUAAAGAAUAAAACUCAUACGUACUCGAUAUAAGGUAGGACUUCCUCCGUAUUCUCCAAGACAUAUAGAUGUGCUUGAUUCAACAGGUCCUGAUCAACUACGCUCACUGUGCAACCUGAUAAUGGCUUUGAAACUCCCAUCUUUUGGCUUGAAGGCACUCCAACUGUACUAACAUCAGAUAAAUGCUGAGUACAAAACUCUACCGCUUCUUCAGCUAUAUACCGCUCAGCAAUGCAACCUUCGGGACGAGUACGAUUCUGAACAUACCCCUUCAGCACUUUCAUAUAUCUUUCAAACGGAUACAUCCACCUAAAAUAUACUGGCCCACAUAGACGAACUUCUCUGACAAGAUGUACUACUAGAUGAACCAUGAUAUCAAAGAAUGAAGGGGGAAAGUACUUCUCAAGCAAACACAGAGUAACUACUACAUCUUCUUCCAACUUAUCUAGCUUGGAAACAUCAACAGUCUUUGCACAUAUAGCAUUGAAGAAGAAGCACAAACGAGUUAUUGCAUACCUUGCAGGCUUCUCCAAAACAGAACGAAUUGCCACAGGGAGCAAUUGUUGCAUUAAGGUAUGACAAUCAUGUGAUUUAAGGCCAAGAAGUCUUGAAUCUUGUACAGAUACAAGAUUUUUAAUAUUUGAAGAAUAACCUUCAGGGACCUUCAUACCAUAGAAAGAAUUGCAAACCUCUCUCUUCUCUGCUCUUGACAAAUUCCAAGGCCCAGGAGGCAAACGAGUACGUCUUUCUCCAUACUCGGGUUGCAAAUCAGUUUUGACCCCCAUGUUCAAUAAAUCUAAUCGAGCAGCAAUCCCAUCUUUAUUUUUUCCAGGGAUCUCCAGCAAUGUACCAAUGAUACUAUCGCAAACAUUCUUCUCAAUGUGCAUAACAUCUAGGGCAUGCCUCACAGGAAGGUAUUUCCAAUACUCGAGAUCAAAGAAUAUUGAUUUCUUCUUCCAACAAACUCUGUCACCAUUUUCAACCAUAUGCAGCACUUCUUCUCCGGUUAAUGGCUCUGGAGGUAUGCCAUAUUCAGGUUUCCCAUUAAAAGCUGCACGUUGCCUCCUAUAUGGAUGAUUGAUUGGUAACCAUUUUCUAUGCCCAAUGUAACAAAUUUUGUGGCCAUUUUUCAACCUGUGACUAGGUGUAUCAUCGCCGCAUAUUGGACAAGCUUUAUAUCCUUUAACAACACAACCAGAUAAGUUUCCAUAGGCGGGGAAAUCAUUAAUUGUCCACAUUAAUGCAGCUCUGAGUGUAAAGUAUUCUCCAUUAUGUGCAUCAUACACUCCUCUAAUCCCAACCCACAAGGAUUUUAAAUCAUCAAUCAAAGGCUCCAAGUAGACGUCUAUAUCAUUUCCGGGUUGUUUAGGACCGGAAAUCAAUAAGGUUAACAUCAUGAACUUUCGUUUCAUGCACAGCCAUGGAGGGAGAUUAUAUGUAACUAAGAUAACCGGCCAACAACUAUAUCUGCUACUUAGAGAACUGUGGGGAUUGAAUCCAUCAGAUGAAAGAGCCAAUCUCAAGUUUCUCGGCUCAUUACCAAACUCAGGCCAUUUAUCAUCAAGAAGUUUCCAAGACGGGGAAUCCGCCGGAUGAGACAUCUGACCGUCAAUUGAUUUUCUAGCAACAUGCCACCAAGUCAAACUCUUAGCUGUCUCAUGUGAUUGAAACAUCCUUUUAAACCUUGGAAUUGGGGGAAAAUACCACACCACCUUCGCUGGCACACCCUCUUUCAAGAUUGCAUCUUUGCCUUCCUUCCACCUUGAGAUACCACAAGUAGGACAAUUAGUUGAAUCCUCAUACUCCUUCCUAUACAAGAUGCAAUCAUUGGGGCAUGCGUGCAUUUUCUCAUAACUCAGCCCCAAUGCACACAAAGUCUUUUUAGCCUCAUACAUGGAGGUUGGUAUUGUAUUUCCUUCUGGAAGCAAAUCGCCUUGAAGUAUCAAUAAUUCUGUAAAACAGACAUCACUCAUCCCAUGUUUUGCCUUCAAAUUAUACAACUUCACUAAUGCCGAUAACUUCGUGUACUUUCUACAACCAGGGUACACUGGUUGAUCUCCAUCCCCAAUCACAUUGGCAAACUCAUACGGAUCCGAACCAAAAUCACCAAAAUCAUUAUCAUCCAUAUCAAUUUCUUCAGACACAAAACUGUACCUACUAUGGCCAUCAUCUUCUUCAACAUUUCUGCUAGCAUUAGUAGUUGCUUCCCAAGGUUCUCCGUGAAAUGUCCAAUUCUUAUAGCUUUGGUCAAUUCCAUUAAAGUAUAAGUGAUCCCUUAUAAUUCCAACCCCAAACAACUUCAAAUUAACACAUUUAACACAUGGACAACGGAUAUGUGUUGUAGUUAGAAGAUUUUCUACAGCAAAGUUCAAAAAUGCUUCCACCCCAAACUCAUAUGCCUUCGAUCUUCUAUCCGAGUGCAUCCAUGACUUAUCCAUCUCCGACACUAUAACCUAUUAUCUAUAAUAAAGUGAAAAUACAGGCAAUGACCAUCACUAUAGCAGAUUAUACAAUGAUCUAAUCGCAAGUAAUAAACAACAGAGACGACGGGUUUUAAUCAAAAACAGACGUAUUUGGCAUAUAUAGACGACGGAUUUUCAACAGACGUCGUCUAUUAUACGUAAUACAAACGACGGUUUAUGAAAAAACCGUCGUGUAUAAGUAAUACAACGACGGUAGUUUAAAAACACCGUCGUGUAAUCGUCGUCGUACGCCUUAAAAUUCGUCGUGUCUCAGUUUAUUUUCAAGAACACAAAACCCAUUAAGAACACAACAUAUAUAUGAAACCAAGCAAGAAACCAACAUAUACAUGAAACCAAGCAUGAAAACAAUAAAUCCAUUCCCAAUUCAACAUAACAUAGGGUGAUUAAAAGAUACGACAAAAUUAAAUCCAUUCCCAAUUCAACAUAACAGAUAAUGUAAUCCAUGAACCCAUUAAACAGAAAAUCCAUGAACCCAUACCUAUAAGCAUUGGUGCACUUUGCACCUUCUCCAGAGCGGAAAAUGACAAGAUCAAAUAAAGGUGUCCUUUUGCUGGAAAUCAUUUGGAAGUUGGUGAUGUGUCUUUUUGUGUUGAUUUCCAGCAAAAGUACACCUUUAUUUGAUCUUGUCAUGAACCCAUUAAACAGAAAAUCCAUGAACCCAUACCUAUAAGCACAUUAUUAACAGAUCGCAAAGCAUAUACCUAAAACCCUUUAACAAAACAACCUAAUAUCAUUCAAUGAAUUUACAAGGGGAAGAUAGGGUUUGUACUUACAGGUUGGACGAGCUCACAGAUUCGACGAGCCUGGAGAGUGCAACUUUUAAUUAGAGCAGAAGUGAGAGAGCGAAAUGUUAUGUCGCGUGAAAUCUGAAAUUUUAGGUUUCAGGGAUCAAAGUAUAAGAAUAAGAGCCAAAUCUAAAAAAAUUUAGGUCGCGCGAAAAUUUUUAGAGCGCGCGCGUUAUAAAACGUCGAAAGAAAAACCAAGGCGAAAGUUCUACAAGUACCGACGUAAAUUUAAUAUUCCACGACGGAAACUUCAUUUUUCGGAUUAAGAACGUAAGGCCGUUCAUUUUUCGGAUUAAUUUUAAAUUUAUUUUGAAUUUUUUAUAUAACGACGACUGAAAAACCACGUCGGUGUUAAGAAAUUAAAGACGUUGUAAAUUAUAUAAACCGACUUACAUAUUAAAAUAACGUCGUUUAAAGCGUAAACCAUGUCGUAUGUUUUACUGUACGACGUAAAAUAUGUAUUCCACGACCCAACCACCGUCGUUAAAAAUUAAUACACUAAACCCAUAAAAUUAAAUUAUACAAUUUAAAAAAUUAAGUUUAUAAAAGGUUUUAUGGUUUUAAAGCCUAACAUAUACCCUAGACUACCCAAAAAUUAUACUUUAAAAAUAAACCCCAAUAAAUAACAACCCUAAUCUCUAAACCCUAGACUCUAAACCCUAAACCAUAAAACUAGAAGUGAUUUUAUGACUCAUCAAAACAAUUUUGUUUUGGAUGGUCAUUUUAAAUUUUUGUUAUUCAAAAUGAAUUUUUUCAAGGUUUAUGUGGAAGAAAAUAUAUCAAUGACUUCAUAGGAGUUGACUUUUCAAUUUUCUGAUUUAUUUUAUAUUUAUUUUGAAUAUUUUGAUAUAAAAAUAAUAAAAUAUUCUUACCAUACAACAAACCACGUCGGUGUUAAAUAAAUUGUAGACGUUGUAAAUUGUAAUAGACUACUAAGUCGUUAAAAUGACGUCGUUAAAAUGAGAAACCAUGGCGGCUAUUUAACUAUACGACGUAAAAUAUAUAUUUUACGACUUAACCGCAGUCGUUACAUAAACGUCGUCGAUUAUACCCUGAACCCUUAAGAAAUUGAAGAUAUUGUAAACCAUUAACGACUCAAUUGUUCAAAGAACGUCGUCUAACUAUUUUUUUACGUUGUAUUUGUUUAAAACACGCAACAACAAAAUACGACGGUUAUUGACUUUAUUAGGUCGUUGGAAAAGUAUUACACGUCGGUUAAGCAAUUUCUAUGUUUGUUUUUUUUUUUAAUUUAAGAAAACCUCAACAAAUUUUUACAUUACAUAUUAUAGAGAAAAUUGGUACAUUAUACAUAAAUAUCAAGUGUUCAAUAAUUGCCCUGUUUAAUAAUUUGGAAAACAAACUCUGCCCAUUUAUUCCGGACUUCAUCAAUGGCUUCUUGGGGGUAUGAAGCUUCCUGGUUUCCCUUGGCAUACUGCAUAAACAAUGACUAUUAGGGUUUAUAAAUAAAAAGAAAUUCAAUCACAGACGACGAUAUUUUUCAUAACCGACGUAGUAUAUCCAUUCAACGACGUUAAUUUUACACGACCGUCGUUGAUAAUACAAAAAACGACGUGAAAUGUAUGAAGGUAAUUUCUUCUUACCUUAUUCUCAAACCCCAAGGAAGGAUCCAUGAUGAUGUCCCUCAUGAAGCGCAUUACAUAAUACCCGCAUUCGACAUUGCUGGGUUGCUUUGGUGUGCCUGAGAGAGUUUUCCAAAUUACAUUUUUACGUCCUGCUCGGGCUAUGUGGGUAUUAUAUAUUUUUAAAGCACUGUUCACGAUGUUUUUGGCCUCUUCAUCGACCACACGAUUUCCUGGCAGAGGAUCCAGAAAAUAGACGGUUUCUCUCUUUGCUCUUACAAUCAGCAAAAUCCAAUGACGGCUGCACAAAAUUAAUAUAAAAACGACGGUUAUUUACAAAAACGACGUAUUAUAGUAUUUCACACGACGAAGUAAAGUAGCUAACGACGACAUUAUAUAUUUAUCACGACGAUAAAUAAAUACCGACGUGGUUAGUAGUUUCAAACGACUAAAUAAAAUAAAACACCGACGUGGUUAGUUUAUAAGCUGUCAUUUAUUGAAAAUCAUAAAAACAAAAUCCUAAGGAGACUAACCCUGGAUUGUAAGGCAUCAUGAAAAUCUGUUCACCGUCUGUCUUCUGAAGUCGAGCUGCUACCAGUCGUGAUCUUGCAGUUAUUGUGCCAGAGUUGGCACUAACUGUAGCAGGGUCGAUAAAGCCAACCAUACUGCACAUAAAGCCAACCAUACUGCACAUAUUGGCUUUUUUCAAAACAUCGUGUAAGUACCUAAACAAAUAAAAUAAUAUAAACAAGUCAGUAUAAAAAAACGACGUAUUAUAAUAUUUCACACGACGUACUGAAAUAGAUGAGGACGUUAUAAUAUAUUUAUCACGACGGUUGUUAGUUAAGACGACGUGGUUAGUUAGUUAAGACGACGCAAUAUAUAAACCAACGAGUUAUUAUUUUAGAAGUACAAACCUCAUAUAUACAGCCAAUACAGUAGCUCCAAUUUCUUCCAUGCCUGCAAAUUGUGUAAUAUCUUCAGGCAGGAGGAAGGUAUCGCGCUCACCACCAAACACCUCCUUAUCAAUUGUAAAUUGGACUGUCUUAUCCUCAGGCAGGAGUGUCGUUUCCACAAAACGACAAAGGGUUUUUAAAGAAGAUGGCGCCUCCAUUUUUGAAUAAGCACCAACUUCAAUAACCUGUUUAAAGAAAUAAAAAAAAUGACGUGGUAAUUCAAUAAAGACGACGGUUUAAGUAAUAAAACGUCGUCUUAAAAGUAUUUAAACGACGGUGAAAAAACUGUCGUGGUAAUUCAAUAAAGACGACGGUUUUAUGAAUAAAGCGUCGUCUGAAACCAUUUAAACGACGGUGAAAAAACCGUCGUUUAAAUAUUUUAUUACGUCUUAAAAAAAUUCCGCCGUCUAAGUUGUAAACAAACGACGGAUUAAAUAAAAAUAUCGACGUCUGAAAUUUUGAAAAACAAAUAAAAAAGGCAAAGUUAUGUUAACAUACCUUGUCGUCAUGCUUUUCUUCAUCUUCUUUCUCCUUUUCUUCUUCCUUCUCUUCAUCUCUUUUUUCUUCUUCCUUCUCUUCAUAUCUUUUUUCUUCUUCCUUCUCUUCAUCUCUCUUUUCUUCUUCAUUCUCUUCAUCUGGCUGAUGUUUCCCCAUUUUGGCAGUAUCAUCCUCCAAAUGUAGGGAUCUCACAUCACCUCCAGAGCAGCUAGCUUUGUCAGACAUUGGAUUUUUGGGGCUUUGGCUAAUUCUUGCUUUAAGCAUGCUUGGAUCAAAAUUGGGAAUUAAUUGGGAAAGCUGACUCAGGAAAUGCUCCCUCUCAGCCUCUACCAAUUGUUUUGUCCUAGCCUCCAUCCUUAAGGCCUCUUCCCUUGCCUUAGCCUCCAUCUUUUUAGUCUCUUCUUGAAGGAGAACUCUUAAACUGUCCUUCAAACGGUCGUCAAAGCUCACCCUCUGUGGUUUGGGCAAAUUGAAAUAUUGCCUUGGGGAAACACCAGCACCAACUCCCCUCACCCUGCCUGGAUGCUCGGGGCCCAAAGCCAUGGUCAGCACAUCAUUGCUGCCAUCUACUCUGACUUUGCCUUCCGAGACUUGUUUCUGCAAUUCAUCCUAAAAAAAGAUAAACAAAAAAACACACGACGGUUAUUUAUGUACAAACGACGUAUUAUAUAAUUUCACACGACGCAAUAACAUAUAAAACGACGUUAUUAUAACUUAUCACGACGGUAGUUAUACCGACGUGGUUAUUUAUUUAAAACGACGAAAUGAAUAAACAACCGACGUCUUAUGCUAUAAUUAAAGAUAACAGAGUAGUGAUUCCUAUUUAGACCGUUAACGACGUUUUUAAAAAAUUUUCGACGUGGUAAUAUCAUUCACACGACGCGAAAAUGAACCACCGACGUCUUAUGCUGUAAUUACAGAAAACAUAGUAGUGAUUCCUAUUUAGACCUUUAACGACGUUUUUAAAAACUUUUCGACGUGGUAAUAUCAUUCACACGACGAAAAAUAUAACAUACGACGUAAUAAGAAUAAUUCACAGUUUAAUAAAAAUUUAAAACAGAGUGAUAGUAGGCUUACAAUUAAUUUUGCUUUCUCUGCCACCUUUGGAUCAGGGAUGUUACCAUGUUUGUCCUGUCUAGCUCUCUUCCAUAAGGUAGAUCGAUCAAUUUCUACCCCAGGCAUGGUUUCCUCCAAUUGAUCCUCCAAUCCAGCAUAUCCUUUUCGAGACAAUCGAUGAUUGUACUCGAGUUUCUCCCUAAUCUGUGAAUGUUGAGAAUGCACAGACUGAAAAUCUUUGGAUAGCCUUGAAGCUACAAAGGCAUCCCAUUGUGCUUUCUCUAUGAAUUUAUAUGUUUCAGGGGGUUGGCUUAAUUUCUCCCUGUCAUUGGUGUAUGGAAGGAUAUAAUGCCUCGUUAGUGUAGACUUGAAAUCCUUCCAUUUCUUGGAAGCAGAAGCUAAAACAGAGGUCUUGCCCCCUUGGCCUACGACAAAAGCCAUGUCAACUGCUUCCCAAAUCUGCUCCUUUAUAUCCUUUGGGAUUUGGGACCAUUUCUUGUCCACAAGUGGGAUCCUGGAGCGUGCCAAGACACCAAUAUACGACUGCAUCUCAAUAUGUGCUUGGCCAACACCUUUCCCCCUUUUAUUGUACUCAACAAUUGGCCUCAGUUUCUGAAGCUUUCUCUUCACAACACGAGGCAUUGUGCUCAUACCUCGACCAGUCUUUGAAUCAUCUGAGAUUGUUGUCUGGCUGGUUUGUUCUGUCUCAGCAGAUGAUGCAGCAAACUUCAUCUUCUUCGAAGACUUCAUCUCCUUCGAAGACUUAUCUUGAGGAGCUACCAUUCCAAGCUUCUUGGAGCCAGAAUCCUUAGUUUGUUGUUGAGAAACCAUUUUAACAGACAAAACUGCAAGUGAAAAUAUUUCAGGAAAACAUUAAGAACACAAACGACGGUAUUAAAAAAAUACGACGUAUGAUAUGAUUUUAGACGACGCAAUGAAAUAAUCUCAGACGUAAUAAAUGUUUAAAACCAUUAUUUAUAUAACGUCGUGGUAUAUAUGUUCACACGACGUCAAUAGUAAUACACCGUCGUGGUAAACUAUUAUUUAUAUAACGUCGUGGUAUUUAUGUUCAUACGACGUCAAUAGUAAUACACCGUCGUGGUAUUAACAUUCACACGACGUAAAACAAUAAGAUAUUUUGUCGUCUAUAUUAGAUACCAACCCUAGUUUCUUUUUCUUUAUAUUUUAUCAAAUAAGGGAAAAACAAAAACCAUUGUUCAGCGAAAUCAAACCUGCAAUUAAACAAGCAUAUAAAAAAAGACUAUUAUUUUAAAAACAACUUUGUCAAUUUUCAGACGACGCUAGAACAACUGACGAACCGUCGUGGUCUACCGUCGUCUUAUUUAGUUGAUGUAGUUGUCUUCAAAGUUGGAAACUUUCUCUCUUUGUCUGUAUAUUUUAUCAAACUUGGAAAGAAGUAAAAUGAUUUUGGCCAGAAAAAAGGUAAAAAGAUUUUUCAAACAAAAAACGUAUGAGCAUGCAAAACAGUAACCAAAAUAGUGAAAAUGAAAGCUUACCUUUUGCGUGCAAUGAAAGCAAGAGGAAGAUGAUCGAUGUUUAAGUUCAGAGACGACGAAGAAGACGAGAGGAAGACGAUGAGAAACUCUGACAAUGCUCUGACAAGGAAAAAAGACGAAAAGGUUUCUCUGGGAGAUUGAAAUUUUUAAUCGGGUUUGGAAACAGUGCAUGUGUAAGUCGAAAAGUUGCUUACAUAUAAAACCAUUUCAAAAAAAUAAUACGGCGGUUACAUUUAACUACGUCGUUUUUAACUAAAACGACGCAAUAUUUUUCAUUCGACGUGGAAUCAUUUCAUUUAACGUCGUUAGGUUUAAUAUAACCGACGUGGAUUUUAAUUUUUAAAUUAUGAAUAGAAUUUUUUUUCCCGUGACCUUUCAGUUUAUUUUUCAAUUACAGUGCGUUAUAAAUAGAGUUUUUUUUCCGGAGGAAAUUUAAAACGAAGGAAAUUAAUAUUCUGCAAUAUGUAAAGUUUCUUUUUUGGAUGACAGAUUUAAAUAAAAUAAGAAUAUAAAAACAACAAAUGUGUAAGUCAAGUAGACGAAAAGUUGCUUACAUAUAAAACCAUUUCAAAAAAAUAAUAUGGCGGUUACAUAUAACUACGACGUAUAAAUUACAAAAUACGACGGUACAUUUAACUUCGGACGUGGUAAAUAAAUACGACAGUAGUUUGUAGGUACCGUCGUAGUAAACUCAAAAAUUAAAGUACAUAAGUAAUAACUCGCGUCAUGGUAUAUUAUUUAACACGUCGUUUUUAUUAAUUUACCGACGUGGAUUUCUGUAAUAUACGUCGAUCAUACCGACGUUGAUUUUACAAUUUAAACGGCGGUUUUUUUGUAAGGACCGCCGUUGGUUUUAAAAAUUUAUUCUAUAAAUUUGUCGCUUUCAUUCAUUUUCGGUUUACAUUUAAGGUUCCAAGUUCUUCCUCUCUCAGUCUCUCAUGUCUCAAAGAUAAUAAUUUGGAUGUUUUCUCAAAGAGAAAUUGAGCUUACUCGCAUCAAAUAUAUGUCCACAAGAAGAAGCUUGUCAACUAGCCUUCUCACUUCCUUGAUCAAGCCUGAUAGGACACUUAGUGCUUCUGAAUACUCCUUGCUUUCCAUCAAAAGAGAUGCAAGUCUGGCCUCCACUCGCUGUCGAAGGAAAGUUCGCUUCUCAGGGAAAUCUGAAGAUCAGAUGUGCCUGAUCCUCUGCUUGAUUUUCUUGCCUAAGAAGAUCCGUCGGAUUUAUUGUGAUAGCCUCUUCCUUUAUCCGUAGAGCUUCAGAAGAAGAAGAUGGGUUUCAAGAAUGCGAUAAAGAAUAGAAAUGGCUUCAGAUGGCCUCUAAAGCAUGAGCAAUUGAAUCAGUAGUUUCUGGGAGAUAUGAUGAAGACAUUGUCAAUGCUUUGAACUACACAAGUCCUGCAGAAAGAUAUGUUAAAGAAACUGAAACAACGGCGGUUUUCUGUUCUACCGUCGUCUUUUCUCGUCGUCUAUAUUAAGUUACGAUGGCGGUAGAUUUAUAAUUACCGACGUAGAUUAUUUUGUUAAACGUCGUUAAGUGUACUACAACCGACGUGGAUUUUAAUUUUAAAUUAUAAAUGGAGUUUUUUUUCCCGUAUUCUUUCAGUUUUAGUUUUCAAUUCCAAAGCGUGAUAAAUAGAUUUUUCUUUCCCGAGGAAAUUUAAAAUGAGGGAAAUUAAUGUUCUAGAAUUUGUAAACUAACACGACGCAAUAUUUGCAAAUCUGUGUCAUCUGUUAAGAUUAUGAUGUGGAACAGAGUUCCAUCUGGUAAGAUUUCGUAACCCUUGGGAUCUCAGACAAAACUGAUUAUGUCGGCGGUGUUCUAUAUAAACCGUCGUGGUUAUUUCAAUUCUUGUCAUUAAGUAGAUCUACCGACGUAGGAUAAGAAAAUCAAAGAAAAAAAUUGUUAACAAAAAUUCUUAUUAAGACGACCGUUAAAAUUAAAGGUACGACGUAUAAAAUGAAUAAAUACGACGAUAAAUUUUAUUGUACGAUUUAAAGAUAACGUAGUAGAACUAUACGAGAAUGACGUCGAUAUAUUUAUAUUUUCCGUCGUUGUAAAUUAAUUUAAUACGGCGAUAUUUUGUAUUUUAAAGCCGUGGAUUUGUUUGUAAUUAUACGGCGUCUUAUACGAAAACCUCGUCGUCUUAUUUUAUGAGUAAAAACGGCAGUUUUUAUUGAAAUCGUCGUCUUUACUUUCUACGUCGGUCGAUUCAUAACUUCUGCCGUUCUUUGUUGGCAUUGAUUUUACACUGCGGAAAUCUGUUUCAAAUAGACGUCGGUUGUUUAAUUAUGUACGUCGUUGUUUUUGAACAGCCAUUUGAAACUCCAUUUUUUAGUUGUCUAAGGUUGUAUUACACGACGGUGUUUUUAGAACCGUCGUCUUUUUAUAAACCACGACGGUUUUCACUUAGACCGUCGUUGUUUUCUGGUCGUCUUUUUCACUUUUUGUAGUAGUGAUACCACUUACUAGAAGUUAACAACUACAUCAUUUCAUUUACAUAAUAGGUAGGAUAAAAGUGUACAACUCCAUACCAUUCAAAAUCAAUACACAAACAAGAAGAAGAAGUUGCAUUUGAAUCAACAAACAAACCCUAAAUGGAUAAUACUAGAAAAAACCGUGAAUAUGGAGCUCAAACCUGAUUAAACUUUAAAAGCUGAUAAACAACAUCAUCUCUAACCAGUGCCUCUCCAACAAACAAGACAAGAUUUGAAUUGUUAAGAUUGACUAGCUUUGACAGUGCCCUCAUUAACAAUUCAUUAUCAUGAAAGGCAUAAUAUAAUAUAUUUUCACAUUAUAUAUAUAACUAACAGUAGCUUAGCAUGUACACUGAAAAAGGAAUUUUAACUUAUAGGUCUCAACCCUCAUUAAUGGCAAAACCAAGCUAGAUAACUUAUAGGUCUCAACCCACUGAAACAGGAAUUUUAACAAGUAAACAACAUUAUUAUCCUUCUGUAAUAGCAAAAGCAGUGGUAAGAUUGAAACAAAAAUUGCUAACUAACAGUAGCUUAGCAUGUACAUCAUACAAACUGUAAACGUUUGUGCAAAUGCUCAACCAUUCUACUAAAUACUAAAAACACAUUACCAUCAUUACAAAUCAUAUUAGAACUAACACAAAUAAGCAAGCAAGUAAUUUCAGGUUUUUUUUAUAUCAAUUUAUUUAUCGCAAUUUGUAAACAAAAUGCAAAACUAAGGAAAAAAAAACCGUAGACAUAUUCAAAUUAAUCACAAAAUCGCAAAGAAACUGCUCAACAAGCUUCGAAUUUCAGCGAUAAUCAAACCGGAUCAUACCAAUAUGAUUCGGCUGACCUUGAAAUGGUAUCUUCGUUCUUCUUAAGCUCAUCCUUGUGAGCGAUCUCUCAGAUCUGGUGCAGUAUGUGGCCAUGAGCGUUUGGACAAAAUUACGACUCAGAAGUUGUGGGCGUGGAUGAUGUAUCUCCUUCAAAGUGAAAGAAGCGACAAGGAAGAUGACGAACCUAAGUCUUGGAAGAAGAACCGAUAAGAGCAUUGCCUAGAGCACCGAAAGGAUUGGCGGAAGAAGAUGAGCCUGGAGUCGGACAAGCUGCUCCAUGAGUCAUAAGCUUAUGCAUCGCCAUGGUCAAUACUCUUCUUCUUCUUAUUCCUCUUCAAUCUACAACAUAAUUGUUAUUAAAUAAAAGAUUAUAAAAUAAUAAUAAAAAAUAAGUCGUCUGUUUCUCAAAAUUGCACCCAAAAGGGCAAAAUUGUAAUAUAAUAUAAAUGUUGAAUUGAAAAAAUCAACAGCUGUUGAUUUUUAGGUUUAUUUUGGGUGUAUUUAUAAACAUUAAAUACUAUAGAGUUUAUUUAUAGUUUUAUGUUUAGGAGAAUGGGUAUUUAACUAAUUUUCUUUAAAAAUAAGAUUAAUUGAUAAAUCCCAUCGAUUGGAAAAGUUCAUUGAAACUAAAAUUAUUUCGAGAAUCUUAUUUGAAAACUUAAUAAAACGUUUGGGAUUACCUACCCAACCAUUGAGGAAUUGGGUUUUUAAUAUAUAUAUUUUUCCUUUUAUCAAUUAAGAAAUAAUUAAAACAGUUGAAAAUGGAGUGCAAGUUAGAAAAUUAAGUAUAAAAAAAAAAAAUAUAUAAAAGUAAAGUAAAAAGAAAUUAAUAUAAAGUAAGAGUAGAAUAGGAAAGAGAAAGAAUAAAAAAGAACAAAAUUGAUUAAAAAAUAUUAAAAAAUAAAAAAGAGUGUAAAUGGACAAAAGAUAAGUAGGAAAAAAAAAAAAAACCUCUAGAAACUAUAUUUGGAGUAACAUACGAAAAAUUGUGUAAAAUAGGACUAUUAAUAUUAUAUAUUCAAAAAUAAAAUAAAAUAUAACAUACAAAAUCCAAAAAAAAUAAAUUAAAAAAAGAAAGGAAACACAUGCACUAAUAUCAUUAGUGUGGGUACAAUGUAUGCGUGGAUAAGGUUUGUGUAUGAGAGAGGUAGCAAAAUUGUGUAUUGUAGAGAAACAAAAAAAAAAAGUCGUGUCAUAAUUACAACUAUCCAUAUUACACUUCAAUUUCAACUUAAAUUAUCAUUCAACUUAAUUAAAUUCAAUAGAAAUUUAGUUAUAUACCCAAUCUUAGACAUGGUUUUAUAAAGAAACCCUACACCGUUUAAAAACUAUAAACACACCCAAAAAAAAUCCAAAAAUUGACAGCUAUCAAUUUUUUUUAAUUUAAUAGUUGUUUUUUAGUUUAUUUGUGUGUGUUAAAUACCUAUAUUGUCCUUGUACUAUGGAUUUAAGAGAGGAAAAUUAGAUCUGCCCAAAUCUGCCAUAAAACCAAAUAUUUCCAUGUCUGCCAAAAAACCAAAUCUGCCAAAAAAACCAAAUCUGCCAAAAAAUCAAAUCAUAUUUAUUUUCUCCUUUCUCGCUGGUGUUUUCUCUGGUGUUGGAGCAAGAGGAGCUUCCAUUGAAGCUUAGUCUCAGGUCCACUAUAUUAUUCAUCUUUAAUCUACAAUUUUCAAUAUUUCACCUUCAAUUUCUUGUUCUAAAAUCGUGCUUCUAUUGAUUUUUUCUUUUUUCGGAUUGUUCAAGACCUUGAAAAAACCUCGAUCAGAUGCUUUUAGCUCUGCUCCUCAUCUUCGAGCUCUACUCCUCUUUCGCCACAUCAUUGUCGUUGUUAUCGUCGUCGCCGUCGUCGUCGUCGUUUGGUUUGUACUUGAGAUUUUUGAUCUUUUGCUUCAAUUAUGUGUUUCUCUUCGGAUUUUAGUUGAUUUUCGAAAUGUAUUUGAAGCUUUGAUGAUCGAUUCAACUAUUGUUACUAUUUCAGUUAUGAAUCUCAUUUUUGUUUAACAAUGUACUUCUGUGAUAGGGUAUUAACAAUGUACUUCUAUGACAGAGUAUUAACAAUAUACUUCUAUGACAUAAUAGUAUUAACAAUCUGGGCUCAGCUUGUUUUGAGUUGGUCUGGUUUGUUCUUUCUUCAUCUUUUCUUUGGUGGACAUGUAUUAGAAAUAGCAACAUGAUAAACAUUAAUCAACAUGACAGUAAACUAGCAGUGUUAUUACCCUAGACUAGAACAUUACAGGGGUAAACAUGCAUUAGAAAUAGGAUGUCAUAGGAAAUAGCAGUGCUAUUACCCUAGACUAGAACAUUAUAGGGGUAGAUAUGCAUUAGAAAUAGAAUAUCAUAGGAAACAAGCAGUGUUAUUACCCUAGACUGGAACAUUACAAGAGUAAACAUGCAUUAGAGAUAGGAUGUCAUAUGAAACUAGUAUUGUUAUUACCCUAAACUAGAACAUUACAACCAUUAAUCAGCAUGACAAUAAACUAGCAAUAUUAUUACCCUAGAUUGGAACAUCAGCCAUUAAUCAACAUGACAAUAAACUAGCAAUGUUAUUACCUUAGACUGAAACAUUACAUGGGUAGACAUGCAUUAGAAAUAGGAUAUCAUAGGAAACUAGCAGUGUUAUUACCCUACACUGGAACAGUACAGGGGUAAACAUGCAUUAGAAAUAGGAUGUUAUAGGAAAUUAGCAGUGUUAUUACUCUACACUGGAACAUUACAACCAUUAAUCAACAUGACAUAGCAGUGUUAUUACCCUAAACUGGAACAUUACAACAAUUAAUCAACAUGACAAUAAAGGUGUAGAACAUUACAAUGAUUAAUUAACAUGACACGUUAAUGAAACUACGGUUUUCAAGACCUUUUGUUUGUAAUGAAUUGUUUGGGUUUUUUUAUAAAAUUGGGUUGGGCUUGUUUUGGGUGCUAUUUAAGUUUUUUGUGUUGGUCUUCUUUUUUAAAUUGAUCAAUGACAGUCAUGUAAUUUAUAAGAACUUAAACACUAAUUUUUUAUGUAGUAAAUGAGUUUUGGGUGUGUUUCUAAAGUGCAAUCCAUGUGGGGUUUUUUUUUAUAAUUUCACUCAAAUUCAUUUCAAUUUAAUUUGAGAAAAAUAAUAAAAUAAUAUAUUUUUCUUAGAGAAAAUGGGGUAAAAAUUAAUGAAACUAAUACAGCAUAGUGUUUUCAUCAACAAUUCAUCAUCAAGAUAAAUGUCCACACUCAAUUGGAAAACGAAAAAAACUUGUGCAAGAAAGGGAUAUGUGGCUGUACAUACAUACAGCUGCUAAAUUACAACUGCCAUGCUACUUUAAUAGACUAAUCUAACUUAACUUAAUAUUAUUUAAUUAGUUAUUUGUACAUUAAAACUUUUUAAUUGUUAUAUUAUAUUAUGUUAUAAAUAUUUAUUAAUUUAAAAUAAAUAUAUCAUUUAUCGAGCCGAAUUCAAAAAUGAGGAUAACAAUACUAUCCUAUCCUAAUCAGAUUAUUUUAAAAUUGAGAUCCCCAUGCCCGCUCCCAUUUUCCCCGUGCCCACUUUUUCAGCAAUAAUAGACCCAUACAAGAUGGUAUCUACUUUUCCGAAUUUUCAGAGCAAUCAUAGAACCAUAGCAAGAUUUCUAAGCAAUAGUUGAUCAUCUCUCUCUUCUAGUAUAUCUGAGCUGAGCCCCAAUCCACCACCACACAAUCGAAUCUUAUCUUCUCACAUGUAUUUUGAUUUUUAAAUUUUGUGUUUCAUCUGGUUGAUUGCUCCCCAGAAUUAAUCCUAGAUGUGUUGUUUUGAUUAAGCUAGCAUAUACCAAAAUAAGGCCAUUACGGCGUCAGUUUCCGCAGACCUUUUCAUUGGCAAAUUUGUAGCAAUUCUCGAGAGUGAAGCAGCCUCCAUAGCGGGUGUUGCUGAUCAAGUUGAUGAGAUUAAGCGGGAGCUGGAAUUCAUGAAGGCCUUCUUAGCGGAUGCUGACGAGGGCAACAAAGCACACACACAAGUAAACGAGGUGUGGAUCAGAAGCGUUCUAGACUCGGCCAAAGAUGUUGAAAACAUCAUGGAUGAAUUCAUGUAUCACGUGUACGAGCAGCAAAUUGGCCGUCGAUUUGCCAAGUGGAUACACAAAACCAUUCACUUUCCAAAGCACCUUUUGUAUAAGCGUAAAAUAGCCAACAAGUUACAGAAAAUCGCGAUGGCAAUUAGAGCUAUUACAGAGCGAAAUCAGAGAUAUGGUUGUGGUGCAGCUGUAGAAGGAAAAAGUACUUCUUCUGAGGAUAUUCGCAGAUGGGUGCAGAAUCAAGCAGAGUCUUCUCUUUAUCAUAAGGAGGAUUGAAGUGUUGGCGUGACUUGUGGAUAUUGACUUACUUUCCUUACACACCAAGAAUUCCUAUUAUAAUUGUAAUUGAUUUACUUUAAUUCAUGAUUUCCUACUGUAAAUGGAUUUAGGAAUUUAUUAUUUACUUGCCCAUU
rnacentral:lncRNA from 1 species